GCCGAAGUGGUGGAAUUGGUAGACACGCUAUCUUGAGGGGGUAGUGGGCUUACGCUCGUGCCGGUUCAAGUCCGGCCUUCGGCACCA
rnacentral:tRNA from 10 species